rnacentral:misc_RNA from 1 species
GAUGAAGAACGUAGCGAAAUGCGAUAAGUAAUGUGAAUUGCAGAAUUCAGUGAAUCAUCGAAUCUUUGAACGCACAUUGCGCCCGCCAGUAUUCUGGCGGGCAUGCCUGUUCGAGCGUCAUUACAACCCUCAGGCCCCCCGGGCCUGGCGUUGGGGAUCGGCGGAAGCCCCCUGCGGGCACAACGCCGUCCCCCAAAUACAGUGGCGGUCCCGCCGCAGCUUCCAUUGCGUAGUAGCUAACACCUCGCAACUGGAGAGCGGCGCGGCCACGCCGUAAAACACCCAACUUCUGAAUGUUGACCUCGAAUCAGGUAGGAAUACCCGCUGAACUUAAGCAUAUCAAUAAGCGGAGGA